GACGAACCGUGCGAACGUUAUUCGGAAUCACUGGGCGUUAAAGCGCGUGUAGGCGGGACGGCACGAUCGGUCGCUGAAAGCCCCCGGCUCAACCGGGGAACGGGCGCCGAAUACGACUGCCCUGGAGGGACGUAGGGGGACCUGGAACUUCCGGUGGAGCGGUGAAUGACGUUGAGAUCGGAAGGAACGCCCGUGGCGAAAGCGAGGUCCUGGACGUUUUCUGACGCUGAGACGCGGAAAGCCAGGGGAGCGAACGGG
rnacentral:rRNA from 1 species